rnacentral:rRNA from 1 species
GAUGAACGCUAGCUACAGGCUUAACACAUGCAAGUCGAGGGGAAACGACAUCGAAAGCUUGCUUUUGGUGGGCGUCGACCGGCGCACGGGUGAGUAACGCGUAUCCAACCUGCCCACCACUUGGGGAUAACCUUGCGAAAGUAAGACUAAUACCCAAUGAUAUCCCACGAAGGCAUCGGAAUGGGAUUAAAGAUUUAUCGGUGAUGGAUGGGGAUGCGUCUGAUUAGCUUGUUGGCGGGGUAACGGCCCACCAAGGCUACGAUCAGUAGGGGUUCUGAGAGGAAAGCCCCCCACAUUGGAACUGAGACACGGUCCAAACUCCUACGGGAGGCAGCAGUGAGGAAUAUUGGUCAAUGGGCGAGAGCCUGAACCAGCCAAGUAGCGUGCAGGAUGACGGCCCUAUGGGUUGUAAACUGCUUUUAUGCGGGGAUAAAGUGGGCCACGUGUGGCCCUUUGCAGGUACCGCAUGAAUAAGGACCGGCUAAUUCCGUG